rnacentral:rRNA from 1 species
GUGUAUGGCCAUGCCACCCUGAACAAGCCAUAGUUCAUUGUGUAUGGCCAAUGCCUGAUCUCAGAAGAUAAGCAGGGUGGAGCCUGGUUAGCACUUGGGCGGGAGACCACCUAGAAAGACCAGGUGCUGUAGGCA